UACGUAGGUGGCAAGCGUUGUCCGGAUUUACUGGGCGUAAAGAGCGCGCAGGCGGUCGUUCAAGUCGCGUGUGAAAGCCCCCGGCUCAACUGGGGAGGGUCACGCGAUACUGAUCGACUCGAAGGCAGGAGAGGGAAGUGGAAUUCCCGGUGUAGUGGUGAAAUGCGUAGAUAUCAGGAGGAACACCGGUGGCGAAGGCGGGUCUCUGGGCAGUAACUGACGCUGAGGAGCGAAAAGCGUGGGGGAG
rnacentral:rRNA from 1 species